UACGUAGGGUGCAAGCGUUGUCCGGAAUUAUUGGGCGUAAAGAGCUCGUAGGCGGUUUGUCGCGUCGAAUGUGAAAACCCGGGGCUCAACCCCGGGCCUGCAUUCGAUACGGGCAGACUAGAGUUCGGUAGGGGAGGUCGUGGAAUUCCUGGGUGUAGCGGUGAAAUGCGCAGAUAUCAGGAGGAACACCGGUGGCGAAGGCGGGACUCUGGGCCGAUACUGACGCUGAGGAGCGAAAGCGUGGGGAGCAAACAGG
rnacentral:rRNA from 1 species